CCGUAGCGCAGUUGGUUAGCGCGCCGGCCUGUCACGCCGGAGGUCGCGGGUUCAAGUCCCGUCGG
rnacentral:tRNA from 3 species